rnacentral:rRNA from 1 species
AAUCAACGCUGGCGGCGUGCCUAACACAUGCAAGUCGCACGAGAAAGGGGAGCAAUCCCUGAGUAAAGUGGCGCACGGGUGAGUAACACGUGAAUCAUCUACCUCCGAGUGGGGAAUAACUGAGAGAAAUCUUAGCUAAUACCGCAUAACACUUACGAGUCAAAGCAGCAAUGCGCUUGGAGAGGAGUUCGCGGCCGAUUAGUUAGUUGGCGGGGUAAUGGCCCACCAAGACGAUGAUCGGUAUCCGGCCUGAGAGGGCGCACGGAC